GUCAAACGGGAGCCAGUACGUUCUUCGCAUCUUUACUUCAUCUCAGAGCUCCCAGUUGGUUUGUGUCUGACGGCUCAUCUCACUGUCCAGCUGCUUCCUGGCAUCCUUCAUGGUUUCCACUGCAGUCUUUGCAAAGGCAGCUGGCAGAGGAAUGGCCAAGGAAAGGAAAGACCUCACUGAGCGAAAAAGAUGAGGACAAAAGCUGGUGAUGAUUCAGUGCAGCUGGUCUCAGGGGAUGAAGAAAAAGCCUGAUCAACUUCUCUACAAAAACAAGGCUCAAUGAGACGGGGGAAGUAAACAGCGGUACAUUCACCCAGACUGCUGAUGUUCCUGUAUGAACUGAAAAACUUUGAACAUCCAAGAAAAAGCUGAGACACAUCAAAGAAAGUCAUGAGCCUGCCGCUGGGGAGGAAUGCGUUGGUGGGGCUGGUUGUUGGGGCCACAGCCGGCUUGGGAAUGAUUGCCUUCCUUUACAGGCAGAUGAGCAGGAGGAGGUCCCAGAGCCUUGUGCUGGAGACACGGCCAGCGGCCCGGCCAGCUCCACUAGCCCACAUGUGUUUUGUGUACAUUCUCCUCUCUCCUCCCCGCCAGGGCGGAGCUUACUGCAGGCUCCCGCCCUUGGCACACACCUGCAUCUCAUCAGGCUCUGAUUACGGGUUGAACUCUUAAGGCCGGGACGCAGACAGCCUCACCGCUGGAUGAUUAUGCUAGACACGUCAGUGAACCUCUGCCUCGAAUCCUUAAGCUUUGUAAACUUGCUGCAAUCUCUGUGUAACCUUAUUUUCCCCUGUGCACAGUUUUCCCCGGACCUGUGACUAACCUGUUAUUUCAACUGCUGUAAGGAAGAAGAGCUAGCGUGUGUGUGACUCCAAUCCCGGACCUCCCUGUUGGACCUAGGACCCCCGUUCCCCUCACUGUAUAUAUCGCCACCUGGUGAUUGUGUAAAUAAACGUUGUUUUCCCAACUGGAGCUCAGAAACCAGCUGGACCAAGUGCUAAGCUGCAUGGCGUCUCUACGUUUAGAGGUAGCUGAGCUCAGGGGAGGUCUACAGGUCAUUGCCCGGCAGAUCAUUCAGGAUGUCGAGUGAGUUGAACUAUGGUGAGCUACAUAGAAUCUGUCCUGCAGUACUGUGCAGAGGUCUUGUGUCACCACUCAGUUCUUUACUGGGUCAUAGUCUGUAUUUGGUGUGAGCACCUUUAUUCUUCAGCCGAGGCAGCUUUCUGUCAUCUCUUUAAGUAGUCUUCAGGAACAGCUCUCCUAGCUUCUUGAAGGACAAAGCUCUUCUUUGUGUGGACGAUUCCACACUGCUUCAAUAAUAUUGAGGUAGGGCUCUGGGGAGGCCCAUCCAUGACUGAUAGUUCUCCACUGCAUGUUUUUGUAUCCAAGUAUGCUUUUACUGCAUUGUCAGUGUGUUUCCAAGCAGACACUUUCAGAUGACACUGGAUCAAGAAUCCAAAUCCUUCAUCUACUAACUGUUUAGUGUUU